UGGGGAAUUUUGGACAAUGGGCGCAAGCCUGCUCCAGCAAUGCCGCGUGCAGGAUGAAGGCCUUCGGGUUGUAAACUGCUUUUGUACGGAGCGAAAAGGUCUGCCCUAAUACGGUGGGCUCAUGACGGUACCGUAAGAAUAAGCACCGGCUAACUACGUGCCAGCAGCCGCGGUAAUACGUAGGGUGCGAGCGUUAAUCGGAAUUACUGGGCGUAAAGCGUGCGCAGGCGGUUAUGCAAGACAGAGGUGAAAUCCCCGGGCUCAACCUGGGACCUGCAUUUGUGACUGUAUAGCUAGAGUACGGUAGAGGGGGAUGGAAUUCCGCGUGUAGCAGUGAAAUGCGUAGAUAUGCGGAGGAACACCGAUGGCGAAGGCAAUCCCCUGGACCUGUACUGACGCUCAUGCACGAAAGCGUGGGGAGCAAACA
rnacentral:rRNA from 1 species